ensembl:lncRNA
AAGGAGACAUUUUAGAUUGGUGCCAGGUUUCCUUCUUCCUCCACUGAAGGAGAUAUGCCAUGCCUUUGACAAAAUGAUGAGCUCAUACCAUAAAUCCUUCGGAAUUGCUCUGGCAGAUGAGAUCCAGCUACUUCCGUAUUCUCCCUUAGAGGCUCCAGAGGAAGGUGUGAGGUUGAUCAGCUUACACAACAGCGCAGCAGUGUGAGCUGUGCCUUGAUGGACAAGAGCAACACAGACUGCUCUGUGAGGACUGCUUUCCUGGAACAGCAGCAGCAGUACACUGUCAGACCAAAGCUUUUCUCCUGUGAUGCAACAUUUCUAAGAAGUUCCUUUCGCCUCUCGGAUGGGAGCAGCCAGUCAUUCACUCCAACUCUUAAUUGCUGCUCUGCAAAAUCCCCAAAAGGAAUGUAACAACUUGUUUCUCACUGUGAAAAUGGGAGGUUCUCCACUGCAAGCUUUAAGCCUUCGGCUGAAUACCUGCUGAACAUCUGGCUUGGGAUCAAGGUUUGCUUUUAUUGUUGUCCAUGCCCUGCUACAACGGGUGGACACAUUGCUAGAUUAAUACUACCAACAGAAGCGGGGUGGAUAGACUCCCUUCCUUCCUCCUCUUACCCCCAGUAAAUGCAGCAGCUGCAGCCUGACAGAACACGCCAGUCUUUCAGAAAGACUCAGAUACCACAAGAAAAAGCCUCAAGCACAGCAUGGCCCCAUGGAAAGCAGAGAAAGGCUGCUGCGAGCAGCAUGGGACACGUGCCCCAGGAUGCACAGCUCAUGAGUGAGCAUACAUGUGCACGUGGGAAGCAUCUCUAAUCCCCUGAAUACUAAACGUGAACCCCUUUUAUCUGGUAUAUGCUUUGAUUUUCUUCCUAAGAAAUAGCAAGCAUGUAUGUUUGGCAUAAGAAAGCUUUCAUCAUGCGAGAUCCCCAAAGCACGCAAAAUGACGGUCCAGGCAUGCUAACUGCACCACAGGGCAAAUUUCUCUUUUCCAAACCUCAGCAAAAUUCAUACAUUCCUUCUAAAUCCAGUUGCAAACCGCUAUCCUGAAGGCACUAAUACUGAAUGCAGGUAUUGAUAGUGCCAAGCAGUAAAUCUGCACCCAUAAGGAGCACGUAGUUCAACCAGAGCCCACAGCAAGGGGAAGGUAACCAACCGACCAAAGGAAAAAGGAUGCACCUAGAGCAAACAAUUGCAAACCUUGUAGGGAGACACAGAUUAGCAGUCUAAUUAGAACCACCAGAUAACCACAUGUAAAAUAGGGUUUUUAGUGCAUUUUCAAAGCACUGUGACCGGAAGACACGUUACAUCCAUCUAAAAGGAUGAAUUCUGCUCUAGGCACUCCAGUGUUAAUGUACUGCAACUCCAGUGACUUCAAAGGGGUUGCUGCAGAUAUAAAGCAGUGUAGCCAGAAGCACUGGCUGGUAGCCUGCAUAAACAAGCAAAAAAGAUUUUCAUUUUUUAAGAAGCCAUAAAAAAUAGUUCAAGCUAAUUACGUGACAGGGGCCUGGGUGUGAAAUAGCAACUGCAAAGCCCCGGGGAUCAAGACAGGAACCUUUGAUUUGCUCUCUUCAGCUUAUAAAGUCUUCUGAAUACUUUUGCUCUAACAGCUUUUCUUCUUCCCAUUGCAAGCUGCACACAUUACUCUGAUGCUGCUCUCCAGAGGCCCCCACCAUUGCUCUGUACUAAAUCUCAAUCCUUUGUCUUACAAUCUGAGGCUGAU